rnacentral:rRNA from 1 species
CCUACGGGAGGCAGCAGUGAGAAUAUUGGACAAUGGGGGAAACCUUGAUCCAGCCAUGCCGCGUGCAGGAAGACGGCCCUAUGGGUUUGUAAACUGCUUUUAUACAGGAAGAAACACUCCCUCGUGAGGGAACUUGACGGUACUGUAAGAAUAAGGACCGGCUAACUCCGUGCCAGCAGCCGCGGUAAUACGGAGGGUCCGAGCGUUAUCCGGAAUCAUUGGGUUUAAAGGGUCCGUAGGCGGGCAGCUCAGUCAGUGGUGAAAGUUUGCAGCUCAACUGUAAAAUUGCCAUUGAUACUGGUUGUCUUGAAUUAUUGUGAAGUGGUUAGAAUAAGUAGUGUAGCGGUGAAAUGCAUAGAUAUUACUUAGAAUACCAAUUGCGAAGGCAGAUCACUAACAAUAUAUUGACGCUGAUGGACCGAAAGCGUGGGGAACCAACAGGAUUAGAUACCCUGGUAG